UAUAUAUAUAUAUAUAUAUAUAUAUAUGUGUGUGUGUGUGUGUGUGUGUAGUAGUAAUAGUAGUAGUGGUGGUAUUUGGACGUUAUUUGCGGCUUAUUUUCAUCAGGAGACGAGCGGAAAAUAUAAAAUUCCAAGCAAUUUUAAAAGAUAUUAAGAAAAUUCCCCCCUCCCCAGCCAAAGUGCUGCAUGACAGAGGAGCGUUGAGUCGGUGGGGGCGCAGCAUUCAUCCAGACGCUGCUCUGUAGCGCAUCGCAGGUACGGGGCUCGGAGAGAGAAAGUGGGAGAAGGUAGGCUGGCCGCCAGAGGAGUGGGGUAGCCCUCAUCUCGGGUAUUGCCCUGAUUUGCAAGUCCAAGCCGCGCUCAUGGCUUUACAGCAAUGCUUUCUCACUCCACCCAGAGGAGACGCGGUGUAAGCGGGGAUUCGGUGAGCUACAGAUAUCGUACUGGCGGAGAGUAGGUUAGAGCAUUCUGUCCUCUUCUUUCCUUUCCCCCACUCCUUUUGGAGACCGCACUGUGUCGUGAUGUCUGGGAGAACUUUCACUUCCUGGGGAACUUCAGACGGCGAGACGGCAGGCCUUCUAUGAGCUGUUCCAGAGAAUCUCUGUGGACCUUGACACAACCAUUCCUAGAGCUGCAAACUGUAUACUCACACACUGCUUCUCCCUUCAAGCAUCUCAACUAAAUUUAAACGCUCUCUCCAGGAAACGGAAA